rnacentral:rRNA from 1 species
UACGGGGGGGGGCAAGCGUUGUUCGGAAUUACUGGGCGUAAAGGGCGCGUAGGCGGCCCACUAAGUCAGACGUGAAAUCCCCCCGGCUUAACCUGGGAACUGCGUCUGAUACUGGAGGGCUUGAGUAUGGGAGAGGGAUGUAGAAUUCCAGGUGUAGCGGUGAAAUGCGUAGAUAUCGAGAGGAACACCUGCGGCGAAGGCGGGGUUGCUGGGCUGACACUGACGUGAAGCGCGAAAGCUAGGGGGAGCGAACGGGG